AUUGAACGCUGGCGGCAGGCCUAACACAUGCAAGUCGAGCGGAUGAAGGGAGCUUGCUCCUGGAUUCAGCGGCGGACGGGUGAGUAAUGCCUAGGAAUCUGCCUGGUAGUGGGGGAUAACGUCCGGAAACGGGCGCUAAUACCGCAUAUGUCCUGAGGGAGAAAGUGGGGGAUCUUCGGACCUCACGCUAUCAGAUGAGCCUAGGUCGGAUUAGCUAGUUGGUGGGGUAAAGGCCUACCAAGGCGACGAUCCGUAACUGGUCUGAGAGGAUGAUCAGUUACACUGGAACUGAGACACGGUCCAGACUCCUACGGGAGGCAGCAGUGGGGAAUAUUGGACAAUGGGCGAAAGCCUGAUCCAGCCAUGUCGCGUGUGUGAAGAAGGUCUUCGGAUUGUAAAGCACUUUAAGUUGGGAGGAAGGGCAGUAAGUUAAUACCUUGCUGUUUUGACGUUACCAACAGAAUAAGCACCGGCUAACUUCGUG
rnacentral:rRNA from 1 species